GACGAACGCUGGCGGCGUGCCUAAUACAUGCAAGUCGAGCGCAGCGGCGGGUGGGUGAGUCACGCGUGGGUAACCCGCCCUUAAGUCAGGGCUACCAUUUGGAAACAGAAGCUACUCCCGGAUACUAAUGGACGGACCUGCGAUGCAUUAGUUAGUUGGUUAGGUAACGGCCUACCAAGUCGAUGAUGCAUAGCCGAGUUGAGAGGGUGAUCGGCCACAGUGGGACUGAGACACGGCCCAAACUCCUACGUGAGGCAGCAGUAGGGAAUCUUCGACAAUGGACGAAAGUCUGAUGGAGCAACGCCGCGUGAGUGAAGAAGGUUUUCGGAUCGUAAAGCUCUGUUGUUAGUGAAGCGGUAAUCAACCAGAAAGUCACGGCUAACUACGUGCCAGCCGCCGCGGUAAUUC
rnacentral:rRNA from 1 species